rnacentral:rRNA from 1 species
AUUCCAGCUCCAAUAGCGUAUAUUAAAGUUGUUGCAGUUAAAAAGCUCGUAGUCGGAUUUUGGCAUCACGCCGAACUGUCUGCCGACUGGUAAGUACGGUUUGGCGGGUGCUUCCUUCCGGAGGCUCGUUCCCUUCUUCAUUGAAGGGUUCGUUGGUUCCGGGUCUUUUACUUUGAAAAAAUUAGAGUGUUCAAAGCAGGCCAACGCAUUGAAUACAUUAGCAUGGAAUAAUGGAAUAGGACUUUGGUCUUAUUUUGUUGGUUUCUAAGGCCGAGGUAAUGAUUAAUAGGGAUAGUUGGGGGCGUUUAUAUUCCGUUGUCAGAGGUGAAAUUCUUGGAUUUACGGAAGAUAAACUACUGCGAAAGCAUUCGCCAAGGAUGUUUUCAUUA